ensembl:lncRNA
AUGCCUAAAAGUAGCAAAGCGAACAAUGAUGCUGAAGUCACUGAGCCUAAAAGAAGGUCGGAGAGGUUGGUAAACAAACCGGCACCCCCAAAGGCAGAGCCUAAGCCAAAGAAGGCAGCUGCCAAACCUAAGAAAACAAAGGAACCCAAGGAGCCCAAGGAGGAGGAGAAGAAAGAGGAAGUGCCCGCAGAAAACGGAGAAACAAAAGCUGAUGAAGAGGUAAAAAAGUCCUAACUCU